rnacentral:tRNA from 2 species
CUGACCUCCAGGCCCUUGGCCCGGAGUGCCUCGCCGUAGAUGUCGGCGAGCAGGGUGCUCUCGGCGAAGUUGUUCGAGCCGACGACGACGGU